CCUCGCCGACCACCGCCUCCACCACCCAUUUCUCCCCCAUUUCUCAACCAUUUGAGCCCAUUUUUGUUGCAAAAUCUUCUAUUUUCGAUACUUAAUCCUAUACACCCAAAAAGUUUUAAUUUUUUUCCCUAUUUCACUGUCAUCCGAACCUAUACAAAAAUAGUGGGUAUAACUCCGGCCACCAUUUUUUGUUGAGAAAACAUUGAAUCUCAACCUCUUUUAAGUGCCCGGAUUUUUUACGGAAUUGCUCGUCGGAUUGCGGUUAUUAGGUAAAAAUUUAAAGCUCAACAUAUAGUAUAUAUAUGUAAUUUUAUAUUUUAUUGAAUAUGUGUGUAUAUAAUGUGUGUAUAUUAGUGUGUGUAUAGUUUAGAAAUAAAAA